rnacentral:lncRNA from 1 species
UCAUAAGAUGGGGACGUUAAGCAUGCAGCAACUACAGUCAUUUGUUCUCAGAGGUCUGGACCAAAGAGAAACAAGAAAAGCUGGAGUCACACUACCAAAGGCCGAAGCUGAGCAACAGAGCUCUGGAGUCAGCUGCCUGGGUUCAGCAUGCAGCGCUGCCGUGGACGAUCUGUCUCUCUUGCAUAUAUGACUUACCAGUUUUACUUUCAGUCUCUCCAUUUCUAAUUAAAUGAGAUGCAGAAA